rnacentral:misc_RNA from 1 species
UUGACAAAGGCUUCUUUGGUGUGAGCAAGGCGGCAAGGUUGAAAGAUUCUUCUAGCAAGAAAGUCAUAAGAUUUAUUAAAAUUGAAGAUACACAACAAGGCGAAUUUGAAGCUGAAAUCAAUACUUUUAUACAAAUUAAACAUGACAAUGUUUUAUCAGUCAACAUGGUUAAGAGUCCCUACCAGAAUUUUCUGGUUAUGGACUUCUCAGAAUUUGGCUCACUCUAUAAAAUUCUACAUGUAAAUAAAGAUCUACUUUCCGAUCUACUCCUACUAAACUGGGCACAACAGUUAUUACUGGGUAUUCGGGCUUUACAUGAUAAGAAUAUUGUUCAUGGCAAUUUAGGUACUCGCAAUUUAUUUCUCUUCGACGACAAUAUGGUAUUGAAGAUAUGUUUGGAUCCAACUAAAACGUGUGGAGCACCCAUUUCCGCUUAUACGGCACCUGAAAUUCUUAAAUAUGGACGACGCACAACCAGGAGCGAUGUGUACAGUUUUGGUAUUAUUCUUUGGGAAUUGCUAUCAAGGAAGAUACCCUUUAAUGAUACAACAGACCAAAUCCUCGCAUCUAUGAUCUUAAGCGGUAAACGGCCCGAUCUGGAGGAAAUGAAAAAAUAUCGAUAUAUUGAAGUAUUGCGAAGUGUGAUCAAGCAAUGUUGGAAUGAAGAUCCAAACAAACGGCCCGCAGUGAACAUUUUGAAUCUUAUAUUCAAAUACGAUUAUGACGAAAUUAAAAUAUUAGAGCGUAUUUAAAAAAAAAUGGAGUCGAAGUAAAAUAAAACCCGGAAGUAUAACGCAAAGGAAAUAUAGAGACUAUAUUUCAAAUAGUAUGCCGGAAAUGGAACUUUCUAAACGUUCACAAAACAAUUUUUAAUUUUACUCAAAGCCUGUGCUCACCAGCUAUUAAUAAUUAGAUACCAGGAAACGAAUCUGAGAACUCAAAAUCAGCUGAUUUACGCUAAAAAUUUGCGAUGUCAAUAGCUAUGCUAUUGUAUUCUGAUACUAGGCGGCGGAUCCCAAGGUUAUGUCUACCCUGGAAACUUUAAAGUUGCUAUAAAGCAACUCAGGUCUUCAGAGGCAGAGAUAAAUAAAUCAUUUGAAGCGGAGGACACGAACUUACUUCGCGCUCAACAUCCGAAUAUUAUAAGAUUAUACGGCAUUUCAAGAGAAAUAUGUACUAAUCAAACAGUUUACAGACUAAUCAUGGAAUAUACUCUUAAUGGAACUCUUCAUUAUUACAUCCAAGAAAAAAAAAGGAGACGAUUUAGCCCGUCAAAUUCUAAUGCUUCAAUGCGCCGAGGAUAUCGCUUAUCUUCAUAGUCUGACGUGGAUACUGCACCGCGACCUGAAACCCGCAAAUAUUUUACUUACAAAUGACUACUGUACGCUAAAGAUUUGUGAUUUCGGAGCGGCACGAGAACUAGGCACAUAUUGACUUUCUUGCUUAGCCUUGAUCAUUCCGCUAUUAAAAAUCUAGAAGAGUCUGAUCAUAGGGAUGAUCCAAGAAUUAAUGACCAGAACUGAAUAAUGAAAUUUUUAGUUACGUUACUCCUAUUAAAAAUUGAUAAACAAUUAGAUGAUCUCGCCUUUUGAUAGGCAUAUGAUCGAUAGUUGAAUCGAUUUAUUUGUGAAUCAUCAUCAGUGGCUCAGUUGACUCAAAGCUCAAUGUCCCGGGAAGCAAUAGCAGAACCAAGAAACGGAGAGCGCUUUGCUUACGCACCCUUAAAAUUCAACCACAAGAAAUU